UACAGGCAUGUGUUCUUCAGGAAAACUAAGACCAGAUUUUAGGUUAUAACGACUUUGUUCUCUAGCAGGAUCAAAGUCUGACAUGUUUAUACAGGUGAGAUUGCAGCGAAUUUGAUGUGCAGAUACAGUUGCUAAUGUCCAGAUUUCAGAGGCAUUGAUAGGUUCAGGUCGACAAGCAUAACAAAGGAACAGAGGAGUUUAAGUCAGUAAUUUUUCCUCUUCGAGAGAUUUGGUGGCCCUUCUUGCUAUGUACAAUGGUGCCUCAUAGUCAAAUUGCACUUUAAACUAAUAACUUUGUGGCGUAUGGGAGAUUUUCAUGACACAAUUGGAGUUACUAAUAAUUUCACUAAGCAAACUGAAGUUUUGUUUCACCUACUGUCAUGUUGGUCUUGCAGAUGAGCUCCAAACAUGGCCAAUCCUCUCAAAGAUUCAAUGGAGUCUGAUGAUGUUGAUCACUCUUCUUCAUUAAUGCCUGCAGGCUGCAGUUGUUGAUCAGUCACAAAGAGGUAUCCACAUUUGUCAACGGUAUAAUGUUCCUUUGCUCUGUACUUUGAACAUAAUGCCUCCAUCCAAAAUUGCAAGGGGCACAAGAAUUUACUCAACAGAAUGUUCAUUGCACAGUUGAUGCCAAUUGAUCCGUAUUGGAAAACACCUUUUCUUUUCUCAUCGAUUUGAACCACAUAGUACACACAUUUCUGCAGUUGCCUCUCUGUCUUUCAGGGUAUUGGUGCCAACGCUCCGUUUGGAGUUGGAGAGGCCCAGACCACCUGCUGCAAGAGGCAAAUGGUGACUUCCAGCCACAGGUUAAUCUCUGUGUACUUACUGCCUUUGAGUUCGGCACCCCGCUUACUGUACACAGAAGAAAACACAUUAAUUGGAGGGUCAAGAUAAGCCUACUCAAUGGGAUCUAACCGUCAAUACAGAAAAGUACCCCUGACUGGUACGCUAAGCAAUUUAGGUGGGCGGACGAAACUCU
rnacentral:lncRNA from 1 species